GACGUAGGGCGCGAGCGUUGUCCGGAUUUAUUGGGCGUAAAGAGCUCGUAGGUGGCUUGUCACGUCGGGUGUGAAAGCUUGGGGCUUAACUCCAGGUCUGCAUUCGAUACGGGCUGGCUAGAGGUAGGUAGGGGAGAACGGAAUUCCUGGUGUAGCGGUGAAAUGCGCAGAUAUCAGGAGGAACACCGAUGGCGAAGGCAGGUCUCUGGGCAUUAACUGACGCUGAGGAGCGAAAGCAUGGGGAGCGAACAGG
rnacentral:rRNA from 1 species